rnacentral:rRNA from 1 species
GACGAACGCUGGCGGCGUGCCUAAUACAUGCAAGUUGAGCGCUGAAGGUUGGUACUUGUACCAACUGGAUGAGCAGCGAACGGGUGAGUAACGCGUGGGGAAUCUGCCUUUGAGCGGGGGACAACAUUUGGAAACGAAUGCUAAUACCGCAUAAAAACUUUAAACACAAGUUUUAAGUUUGAAAGAUGCAAUUGCAUCACUCAAAGAUGAUCCCGCGUUGUAUUAGCUAGUUGGUGAGGUAAAGGCUCACCAAGGCGAUGAUACAUAGCCGACCUGAGAGGGUGAUCGGCCACCUUGGGACUGGGACACGGCCCAAACUCCUACGGGAGGCAGCAGUAGGGAAUCUUCGGCAAUGGACGAGAGUCUGACCGAGCAACGCCGCGUGAGUGAAGAAGGUUUUCGGAUCGUAAAACUCUGUUGGUAGAGAAGAACGUUGGUGAGAGUGGAAAGCUCAUCAAGUGACGGUAACUACCCAGAAAGGGACGGCUAACUACGUG